rnacentral:rRNA from 1 species
GUGAACGCUGGCGGUAUGGAUAAGGCAUGCAAGUCGAAUGGGUUUAGACCCAUGGCAGACGAGGUAGUAACACGUAGGAACGUCCCCCUUAGUCGCGCAUAACCAGCCGAAAGGUUGGAUAAUUCGCGAUGGUCCCGCAAGGGUAAAGAUUUAUCGCUAAGGGAGCGGCCUGCGUAGUAUCAGCUAGUUGGUGAGGUAAUGGCUCACCAAGGCUAUGACGCUUAGGGGACCUGAGAGGGUGACCCCCACCGAUGAAACUGAGACACGGUUCAUACCCCUACGGGGGGCUGCAGCCGAGAAUAUUCGACAAUGGGCGAAAGCCUGAUCGAGCGAUACCGCGUGGUGGAUGAAGUGCUUCGGCACGUAAACACCUUUUGUGGAGGAAGAAGUCAUUGACAUUACUCCAAGAAUAAGGGGCUCCUAACUCUGU